AUUAAUACACUUGCUGGAUGUGGUGGCACAGCCUGUAAUCCCAGUAAUUAGGAGGCAGAGGCAGGAGGAUCACCAUGAGUUUGAUGCCAGCCUGGGUUACACAGUGAGUCUAAGGCCACCCUAAACUAUAUUGGGAGACCUUGUCUUGAAAAUCCAAAACAAUUACAUCAAUACAGUUGGCCCUCUCUAUCUGUAGAUUCCAUACCAGGAUUCAACCAACUGUGAAUCAAACCUAUUCAAAAAGAAACUGCUUCUGUACCGAACAUAGAACUGAUGUAUUAGAAACCUACAGGGCCGGGGAUUUAGCUCAGUGGUUCCGCCGCCUGCAACACAAGCGCAAGGGCCUGAGUUCGAUCUCCGGUACAAAAAAAAAAGAAAGAAAGAAACCUACAGACCUCCUAACCCAAUCGACCAGCCAGCCUUAAAUUACAGCUUUCCUUCUGAAGCUAUAUCCAGAUGUUUGUAAGUCAAACCAUGCAUUGCUGUAAAAUGUGAAUGCCAUUAAAGUUGGACACUGAUAACAACGUCUUGAACAGUUUGACCCUACAGCUUAUUUCCACCAAGGCACAAGUGUCCCAACCUUUCUGAACUUCAAAUUUCCUAAGUGGAAAAUGUGGGCGCCAAGGUCGUAAAAGGCCCUGCAAAGAGAGUGCAAAUGAGUGACAACUCUUGGAGGUCAGGCAGCGACUCUAAUAUGACCGAACAUUCGGUGCCCGAGCCCAGGCAACUAUACAAAAUAAGACUAUCUGCGAGGCUUCCUUUCACUGUCAAGCUUCUCACCUAAAGAGGCCUCCCAC
rnacentral:lncRNA from 1 species